CACGGAAUUAGCCGGUGCUUAUUCGUAUAGUACCUUCAGCCAGAUACACGUAUCUGGGUUUAUCCCUAUACAAAAGAAGUUUACAACCCAUAGGGCAGUCGUCCUUCACGCGGGAUGGCUGGAUCAGGCUCUCACCCAUUGUCCAAUAUUCCUCACUGCUGCCUCCCGUAGGAGUCUGGUCCGUGUCUCAGUACCAGUGUGGGGGAUCACCCUCUCAGGCCCCCUAAAGAUCAUUGACUUGGUGAGCCGUUACCUCACCAACUAUCUAAUCUUGCGCGUGCCCAUCUCUAUCCACCGGAGUUUUCAAUAUCAAAUGAUGCCAUCUGAUAUAUUAUGGGGUAUUAAUCUUCCUUUCGAAAGGCUAUCCCCCUGAUAAAGGUAGGUUGCACACGUGUUCCGCACCCGUGCGCCGCUCUCAAAGAUCCGAAGAUCUUCUACCGCUCGGCUUGCAUGUGUUAGGCCUCCCGCUAGCGUUCAUCCUGAGCCAGGAUA
rnacentral:rRNA from 1 species